UCGAACGAUGAAGCCCUUCGGGGUGGAUUAGUGGCGAACGGGUGAGUAACACGUGGGCAAUCUGCCCUGCACUCUGGGACAAGCCCUGGAAACGGGGUCUAAUACCGGAUAUGACCGUCUUGGGCAUCCUUGAUGGUGUAAAGCUCCGGCGGUGCAGGAUGAGCCCGCGGCCUAUCAGCUUGUUGGUGAGGUAAUGGCUCACCAAGGCGACGACGGGUAGCCGGCCUGAGAGGGCGACCGGCCACACUGGGACUGAGACACGGCCCAGACUCCUACGGGAGGCAGCAGUGGGGAAUAUUGCACAAUGGGCGAAAGCCUGAUGCAGCGACGCCGCGUGAGGGAUGACGGCCUUCGGGUUGUAAACCUCUUUCAGCAGGGAAGAAGCGAGAGUGACGGUACCUGCAGAAGAAGCGCCGGCUAACUACGUGCCAGCAGCCGGGGGUUAAUUCCA
rnacentral:rRNA from 1 species